AACAAUUGAUCUCAAAUCAGGCAAGAAUACCCGCUGAACUUAAAUAUAAUAAGCGGAGGAAAAGAAACUAACAAGGAUUCCCCUAGUAACGGCUAGUGAAGAGGGAAGAGCUCAAAUUUUAAAUCAGCCUUGUUUACAAGGUUGAAUUGUAGUUUGAAGAAGCGUUUUCUUGGUUGGGCGUAUGUCUGGUAACAAGUUCCUUGGAAUAGGACAUCAUAGAGGGUGACAAUCCCGUUUGUGCCGGCAUGCAUUCAUUUACGAUACCAUCUACGAUACGCUUUCAAAGAGUCGAGUUGUUUGGUAUUGCAACUCCAAAUGGGUGGUAAAUAUCACCUAAGGCUAAAUAUUGGCGAGAGACCGAUAGCGAACAAGUACCGUGAGGGAAAGAUGAAAAGAACUUUGAAAAGAGAGUUAAAAAGUACGUGAAAUUGUUGAAAGGGAAACGUUUGAAGUUAGUGGAACUGGUACAAAAUCAGCUUACGCAUCAAGGCAAUUAGCGCAUUGGCGAGCCUAAAAACCGCCAUAGUCGACAUUCAAUUACUUGUGUGGGGUGCAUUUUUGUAUCGGCUGGUUAACAUCAAUUUUGACUGUCAUAAAAAGGCUAAAGGGGAUCUGGCUCCUUCGGGAGUGUGAUAAACUUUAAGCGGAAUAUGGUGGUCGGGAUUGAGGUUUGCAACGAAUACCUUUAGGGCUGCUCAAACUGGUUUGAUCGCCCCUCUUUAGUUAUCAUAUAUAUGGUGCGUUCCGCUAAUUAUAGGGGUGGUUAGUCAGGUGGUGCAAAUUCGUUAAGGAUGUUAACGAAAUGGCUUUAAACGACC
rnacentral:rRNA from 1 species